AUGAUAACCACAAAAGCUUAAACAUUUAUAUUAACAAAGUUCCCAAAAAGGAAUUACAUCAUGAAUGCAAACAUCCAACAAACCCAGCAUUCCAAAACAAUUGUACUUUUCAGCAAGUAACCGAGAGGUAACCGACAAACUAUAAAACUUAAAACCCUAUACCUAAUUUUCGAUAUUAAUAUCUUCAGCAUCAUUAUCCGGAAUCUCAUUAGCAGGAACUAGCUCACCAUUAUAAAAGUCCUUCUUAACAUCAAAAUUACCUUCAUCAAUAGGAAUCUUAUAAAAGUAUUUUGCUUGUUGAAGAGCCUUCUCAAAGCCAAGUUUGUG
rnacentral:lncRNA from 1 species